rnacentral:rRNA from 1 species
AUUGAACGCUGGCGGCAGGCUUAACACAUGCAAGUCGAGCGAGCGGCGGACGGGUGAGUAAUGUCUGGGAAACUGCCUGAUGGGGGGGGCUAACUACUGGAAACGGUAGCUAAUACCGCAUACCAUCAGAUGUGCCCAGAUGGGAUUAGCUAGUAGGUGGGGUAAUGGCUCACCUAGGCGACGAUCCCGAGCUGGUCUGAGAGGAUGACCAGCCACACUGGAAUGGAGACACGGUCAGACCUCCUCCGGGGGGCAGCAGUGGGGAAUAUUGCACAAGGGGCGCAGGCUGGAUGCAGCCAUGCGGCGUGUGUGAAGAAGGCCUUCGGGUUGUAAAGCACUUUCAGCGAGGAGGCGGUACUCGCAGAAAAAGCACCGGCUAACUCCGUGCCAGCAGCCGCGGUAAUAC